rnacentral:lncRNA from 1 species
GGAUUUUGGAAUUCUUUUAGCUAAACUUGACCAAAUGAGGUGAAAGAGGAAUGAGAGAACUACAUUUCGAUACUAUUAUUUGGGCCGAAGAAGAUGGCUAUGGCAAUUGUACAUCCCUUGGGUGGCUAGGAUUUCAACAAAAUAAAAAUAAAAAGAUGACAUUUUUUCUUUGGAAGGGAGGCAUGUUGAAAAUUAAACAGGACCUAAUAGUCAAGAUUUGGUAAACUAUGCCAGAAAGGCUUGUCACACCAUUUACUGUUCUUUAGUGUGUGUAAUAUAUAUGAUUAAAUAUAUUUGAUUGGAAGGAAUGAAUAAUUGAGUACUUAUAUGGUAAAUGUACAGGCCCAAAUUUACCCGGCCCAAAUCAGAUACCAGCCCAAACUUAAAAAGCCCAAUAUAUAGGCCCAAAACUAAACUCAGUUUCAAACACCCUAGCCCCUAACCCAAGUGGCACCCCACCCUAGCCCCUGACAGCCCUGUCACCGCCAACUGCUCUGCUGUCGCCGCUCCUCUCACGUCAGAGCCGCACCAACCCCUACCACAGAAAUGACAACAAUAAUAGAUUAAAGCUUUGUAAAUGGCUAUAUAAGCCAUGAAAAAUUUUUGUAAUAUCUCUCUGGAUUUUUUUUUUUUUUUGAAUACAACAAAAAGAAUAGAUUCAUAGCAUUCAAACAAAAAUAUAGCAACCAAGCAGAGAAAAAAGUGAGAACCGUGCAAGGGUCUUCUUCAUUUUUAUUUUCUUUAUUUUUCCUUUUUGAAACCGUUUAUACAUACAAAUAUUUCUUUUUUAAUAAUGUUUUUACAGAUAUAUCUAUUUCAAAAGUGUAUGAAAAGAGAAACUUACCCCUUUCUCUUUGAUUUCACCAAAAAAAAUAGACUUUUGGCCUUUCGGCCGCCGUGGACGGCGACUAGUAGCCGACGCGGCGGCGAUUCGCCAGAGGAUGGCCGGGUUCUGGAAGAGGGGAGAGGGUUUUGGAGAGAAAAUUUUGGUUUUUUUUUUUAGAAGUGCAGAAAU